rnacentral:rRNA from 1 species
UACGUAGGAGGCAAGCGUUGUCCGGAAUUACUGGGCGUAGAGCGCGUGUAGGUGGUGGGACAAGUCUGCUGUGAAAGCGCCUGGCUUAACCGGGCGAGGUCGGCGGAAACUGUCGCACUCGAGGACGGUAGAGGGGGGUGGAAUUCCCGGUGUAGUGGUGAAAUGCGUAGAGAUCGGGAGGAACACCUGUGGCGAAGGCGGCCCCCUGGGCCGGCCCUGACACUGAGACGCGAAGGCGUGGGGAGCGAACGGG